AGUAGAACCAGGCGAAGCUGUGUGUGGCAUGCAGCAUACGGUAUCACUACCCAGGGACACACACGAUGACAAACCGCAUUCCUGUAAAGGACGAGGACAGGGUGCCCUGUGAUGGUAUCCUUGGGACUCUGACCUGGACUAGGGCUGUGCACAAGGCUUCCUUUGGGAUGUGGUAGGUGAAGGAGGUCACUCCAGCUGCUCUGUGGAGGGGAGACAGGAACACGGGUAGACCCAGGGAAAUGUCAAGUUCCAAGUGGAGGUGGAACAGCAGGAUUAGAAAACAGCAUUUGGAAAACCAACCAAAAAACCCAGUGUUUGGGACCCGGGAUGUAGCUCAGCGGCACAGCACCUGCCUGGCAAGCACAAGGUGCUGAGUUCGAUUCCCCACACAAAAAACAGAAUGAAAAAAACCCAGCAUUUGGCAGCCACCACAGAGCCCUGGUGACUGGAUGCUACAGGACUGGGAGAGGUCCACUGGGAAACGGGGUCCGAGUCCCCGCCCGCAUCGUCCCACAGAUUACUGCUCCUUUGCAAGGAACAAACACGGCACCACUUUCCCCACUGGGCAGAGAGCAUGCCACCAGCAAGGGGACAACUGGGACAUGCCCGAUGCCCUGUCCCAGUAGGGACGCAUCCUUCGUGCUACACCACUGCCAAAACGUGCUGCCUGGCUCUGGCUCCGAGAGGCCCACCAGAGAGACCCAAAUGGAGAGGCGUCCCAGCCUGUGUGCUCCGUGAACAUCACUGUCGGGGGGCGGGGUUCUCCUCAGCCCUCCCACAGAACCAGCCCUGCCGGCACCCCGCCUUGGGGGCUUGACCUCCACAGCAGUAAGAAAGCACAUUUGUGUUGUGUAA